GAUGAACGCUGGCGGCGUGCUUAACACGUGCAAGUCGAACGGGAAUUAUUUUAUUGAAACUUCGGUCGAUUUCAUUUAAUUCUAGUGGCGGACGGGUGAGUAACGCGUGGGUAACCUGCCUUAUACAGGGGGAUAACAGUCAGAAAUGGCUGCUAAUACCGCAUAAGCGCACAGAGCUGCAUGGCUCAGUGUGAAAAACUCCGGUGGUAUAAGAUGGACCCGCGUUGGAUUAGCUGGUUGGUGGGGUAACGGCCCACCAAGGCGACGAUCCAUAGCCGGCCUGAGAGGGUGAACGGCCACAUUGGGACUGAGACACGGCCCAGACUCCUACGGGAGGCAGCAGUGGGGAAUAUUGCACAAUGGGGGAAACCCUGAUGCAGCGACGCCGCGUGAAGGAAGAAGUAUCUCGGUAUGUAAACUUCUAUCAGCAGGGAAGAUAGUGACGGUACCUGACUAAGAAGCCCCGGCUAACUACGUG
rnacentral:rRNA from 1 species